CAAAAGCACACGUUAUUCAUACAUUUAUAUUGUAUUUGAACACAUCAAUACCAUUUUUAUUACUUUUCUAGUGUGUGUGCGCUGAAACCAGUUCUGUAAUAAGAGAAAACCUUCUUUCCAUAAUAAUAUGUCGAUGUUAUUUUCAACCCAUCCAUGUGUCGUAACUGCUGUCUCGAUCUUGUCAAAGAAUGCUGACUGAGUGGUCUAAUCGACCGCAAUCAUAUCAGCUCGGAGCCUCUCGUGCUGUUUUUGUGCGAGCUGCCACGCAACCUCAUAUUUCGCAGGUCUCAGUUUAAAUGCCUCGAGUGAUGUUUAAUGUUCAUUAAGCCAUUUGAUUGGGCAUUUAUAUUCAUUUUGCAUUGUUUUCUGAUGUUAAACUAUUUUUUUGGCUCAAAAACAAUUUGUAUGAAUAUGUUCGAGUGUUUGCAAUGGAUUAUUUAGAUUUACGAUAUUGAACUGUGUGGCAGAUGUGCUAACCAGUCACCCACCGUUCCACCGACUUCAGAACAAUGUGAUUUAAAACCUUUUUUUAAAUAUAUAAUUUUACUAAUAGUUUUUUUUUAAUUUAGUUAAAUGCCCAUCCCCAAUACUGUGCAUACACAAGAGUUGUGUUGACACAUUCCCAUGCAUGUUUUUUAGGAUGUGGGAGGAAACCGGAGUACCCGGAGAAAACCCCAUCCAGGCACAGGGAGAACAUGCAAACUCCACACAGGCGGGGCCUGGAUUUGAACCCCGGUCCCCAGAACUGCCAAGGAAGCCCGGGCUGACAUGCGUCGACACCCAGGGGCUGACUUUGUGGAAGAGCCACUGGAAGGUGAAAAAGCUGGUAACUGAGAUGGUCAGGAUGAGCUGGCUAAAUGGGUCCAUGGCCAAUCGACUCCACUGUGAAGGGGAGAAGAAGAAUGUUUCCUGCUCAGGUCACAACAACAGUCUACCAGAAUGUUUUAGAGGACUUCAUGAUUCUUUCCGCUGAGGAUCUGUAUGGCGAUGCAGAUUUCAUGUUCCAGCAGGACCUGGCCCCUGCCCAUACUGCCAGAAGCACCAAAACCUGCUUUGAUACCCAUGUCAUCACAGAGCUUGACUGGCCACCCAACUCGCCGGAUCCAAACCCCAUUGAGAAUCUAUGGGCUAUUAUCAAGAGGGAAAAUGUGGGGCACCGGACCCAAAAACAAAGAAGAAGCGACAGCAAGCAUCAAGGAAAUCUGGGCUUUCAGAACUCCCUUGGCAACGCCACAGACUGAUUGCCUCAAUGCCACAGUGCAUCGAGGCAGUGAUUAAAGCAAAGGGAUUCCCAACCAAGUGUUGAAGAUUAACUUAUCGUUUUGAAAAUACCAUAUUUUUAUGGAUUUAAUGUGACCAUCAUUUCUUUUUUGUCUUCUUCAAAAACUGAGCAUGGUGCUUACGUCACAGUAUUCCCGAUUUUGUGGGUUUCAUGAGCUGGAGCCCAAAUUAUGUAAAAAUGAACAAAUAAAUACUUGAAAUUGUUUAAAUUCUGGGCCCCGAAUCUAUAAUCUAUUAAAGUUUAACUUUUUCAAUGGAAUUAUGGAAAUGAAUAAACUUUUCCAUUAUAUUAAAAUUGUGCGUGUGUUUUUCUUCUUCUCUGCGUCAUUUCACAUUAUUACAUAAUGAAUUCCUCAUUUUUUCGACUUUCUUUGUAUCUAUAGAUUACUCUGGUUGUCCCCAACAUCUGGUG